GUCUCGGUGGCCUAAUAGAUAAGGCGUCUGUUUCGGGAACCGAAGAUGGACGGUUCGAGUUCCUUCUGAGACG
rnacentral:tRNA from 1 species